GGAAUGAGAUGUUGCAAGUCGCUCUGGAUAAGAGCGUCUGCUAAAUGACGUAAA
rfam:Salmo salar isolate Sally breed double haploid chromosome ssa03, whole genome shotgun sequence.